rnacentral:rRNA from 1 species
UACGAAGGGGGCUAGCGUUGUUCGGAAUUACUGGGCGUAAAGCGCACGUAGGCGGUGUUCCAUGUCAGAGGUGAAAGCCUGGGGCUCAACUCCAGAAUUGCCUUUGAAACGGGAACGCUUGAGUCCGAGAGAGGAUGGCGGAAUUCCUAGUGUAGAGGUGAAAUUCGUAGAUAUUAGGAAGAACACCGGUGGCGAAGGCGGCCAUCUGGCUCGGUACUGACGCUCAGGUUCGAAAGCGUGGGGAGCAAACAGG